rnacentral:rRNA from 1 species
UACAGAGGUCCCGAGCGUUGUUCGGAUUCACUGGGCGUAAAGGGUGCGUAGGUGGUUAGGUAAGUCCGAUGUGAAAUCUCACAGCUUAACUGUGAAACUGCAUUGGAUACUAUUCGGCUUGAGAGUUGGAGGGGGGACUGGAAUUCUUGGUGUAGCAGUGAAAUGCGUAGAUAUCAAGAGGAACACCAGUGGCGAAGGCGAGUCCCUGGACAACUUCUGACGCUGAGGCACGAAAGCUAGGGGAGCAAACAGG